AGUGAACGCUGGCGGUAGGCCUAGCACAUGCAAGUCGAACGGCAGCACAGUAAGAGCUUGCUCUUACGGGUGGCGAGUGGCGGACGGGUGAGGAAUACAUCGGAAUCUACUUUUUCGUGGGGGAUAACGUAGGGAAACUUACGCUAAUACCGCAUACGACCUACGGGUGAAAGCAGGGGAUCUUCGGACCUUGCGCGAUUGAAUGAGCCGAUGUCGGAUUAGCUAGUUGGCGGGGUAAAGGCCCACCAAGGCGACGAUCCGUAGCUGGUCUGAGAGGAUGAUCAGCCACACUGGAACCGAGACACGGUCCAGACUCCUACGGGAGGCAGCAGUGGGGAAUAUUGGACAAUGGGCGCAAGCCUGAUCCAGCCAUACCGCGUGGGUGAAGAAGGCCUUCGGGCUGUAAAGCCCUUUUGUUGGGAAAGAAAAGCAGCAGGUUAAUACCCCGCUGUUCUGACGGUACCCAAAGAAUAAGCACCGGCUAACUUCGUG
rnacentral:rRNA from 1 species